GGGAGGAAAAUGCCCAAGGACAAAGGCUUGCUUUCUGCACCUGACAGUAAUCCGUGGUGGCGAAGCCCAUAAAUCCCGCAGGCAAUUCACAAGGAAGGUGGUGUGGGCGGGCGUGUGUGUGUGUGUGUGUGUGUGUGUGUGUCCACGUCUGCGUGCCCGCGCCUGCGCGCCCGCACCCUGGAGGGGAGCUGCAGCUUCGGACUUAAUGUAUUUAAGCCAGCAGCAGCUUUAAUUGCAAAUGCGAAUGCCUGAUUUUUGAGAGACUAAUAAAAAAAAAAAAAUUCUUUCCUCAACUUGGGAAAUUCCGGAGCCUUCAGGCGUGUGAAUUUUAGCAGAUGAAAUUUAAAUUUUGUAUUUAUCCGGUUCUCUGUAAGCACCCUAGAUAAUUUUUUUUUUCAUUUUUAAUUUUUGGUAUUGUAAGUGUGCCGGCCAUUUGGUACACGGUUAAAUGAAUGCAAUGUGAGAGCUAUCUGAUACCGGCUAUAGAGACGUCAAAACUCCUCUCCAAUUAAUGUGCAGGCUGGGAGUGGGAAACAAUCAGUUUACAAAGGAACCUCGUGAAACAGCUUGUCAAUAAGGUAGAUCUUGGAGAAAACAAAGGCGUUUGGCAGGAAGACAUUGUUUGAAUGUCAUUUCAAAGUUAAUUUAAUUAAGGAAGGCAUAUCUGCAGGAGUUGGUGUGGGAUUGCCCAAGGAGAGAGAUUUUAUUUAUAUUCAGCAGUAACCCUCCGGGUGAAAAUACUUUAAAAAUUCGCUGUGACAUGUAAAUCCAACUUCUCUUUCAUCAGACAGUCCUUAGACCGACCUUAUUAGUCCCUGGCAGACCUGGCAAAACCCCUGCUCUUGUUUAAGAACAUUUCUUUCCAAUUAGGUUGUUGUGUGAUCUGGGAAUUUAAAGCCCAGAGUAGGAUCCCCAGAGAGGACUAUGGCUUCUAUUCUGGUUUCGAUGCCAACCUCUGACUCACUGCCCUGUCCCAAAGUGCCUGAAUAAAACUUGCCUGAAAACCCAUUAAUGAAUUAAUCAAGGUGGCAUUGGAAAGAAAGGGUCUGUAGAUUCCUCUUUCCUGAGCAGAGAAGUUACCUUGCUCAUUACUCUCUCACUUAGAACGGAAAUGAUCUGCUUUGCAAGGACCUGUUGGUUAGGCUUCCUACAUUAGCUGAUUGGGAAGCUUCUCCUCUGGCAGUGAGAACGCUCAAAAGGACUGGAAAGCUGUCUUCAUGCUCCUCAAAGCAGAAAAGUGUGUGCCCCCUGCAUGUUCUUAGGCAACAUACACAAAUGGAAUUGAGGCAUGUAUGUCUGUCCUUCCCUGCCCACCUCUGCUCAUCAAGUCAGAACUUAAAAGCAAUGGAAUGUUCUUCAGCAUUUGGACUGAACAUCAGCAAGCAAUGUCAAAAACAUAGCCUCAAGUUUUAGACCUGACUUUGUCACAUUUACUUUCUAUGCAUAAUACUAUAGCACUUGCUAAUGAUUUAAAAUGCUAGGUUUCUAACCUUAGGGUCUCUGAAGAAAGGUUUCAAUACAUUGCUUGGUUCAUUAAUCUAUUUGAAAACUAUUCAAUCCAGGCUACGCUACCAUGUAGCUUUGUGAUCUUGGGCAAGACAAUCUCCAUGGGUCUCAGUUUCCUCAUCUGCAAAUGGAAGAGUUGGGGCAGGGCAGUUUUUAAGGUCUAGUCCAUUUCCCACCCUGUGUGAAUGCACAGGAGAGCCUCCUGUCAACCCCAAGCCCAAACCUCAGCAGCCUUCUCCUUUCCCUCCCCAGAGCCUGGCACACUAAAUGCCCAAGACCAGGAACAGUCUCUAACUCCUAUCUGGCCCUCUUUUGCUCAUGGAGAGCAAAGUUGGUAGUUUUUAUUUAGAUGUUUUUUGUCAAGUGCUAAUAUCCCAAGUAGCUUGAUAACAUUUAUUCAACAAACACAUGAAAUAAGGUGGGGGAAACAAACUUAUCCAAACUACUGACUGUAAUUUCAAAGAGUUUAUAAUUCAGUCAGGCUACUCAGGGUGUGAAUGUCACCUUACGUUAUUGCAAGGAUCUAAUAAAUAUCAUUAGGGAAAAACAAAUAAAAUGCCAGGGGGCUUCAGAAAAGAAAGGGAUUGCACAGUGCUGUGGGAUUAGGGAAAUGGAAGGAAAAGGCCAGUGCGAAUAAAAUGCAUUUCAUCUACUUAAAUGUUAUCCUUGACUUCUCUGUUAGGUCCUUUUUUUUUCUUUUUUAACUUUUAUCCCACCUCUGACAUUCAUUCUGUCCUUGUGCCUUACAUCUUUUCCUUUCAUUUGUUAACCUCUCUCUUCCCCAGUGGUUUUGCCUGCUAAAAAUAGAUGAGCGAUUGGUCUGAAGCUACAAGAGAGCCAAGAUGAUGCAAAAACUCUGUAGAAAAUCUAUGCCUUGGACAGUGAGCUGACCUUAGAUGCCAGGACAACAAAAUAUCAAAAUCACCUUUCUAAGGACCCAGCCUUGGUGAACAUAUUUGCUUAAUCAAAUGUCGAGUACACGCUCAGAAAAGAUUUUUGGACUUAUGAAAUUAUUUCUAUAAAAAUUCUUACCAAGAGGUAAACAUGAAAUCACAUUUGUUUAUAUGUUUUAUAAAUCUUCUUUAAUCGAAAGCAGUCAGAACAGCCCCAAAUUAACACUAUCACAGAAAAUCUUGGACUUUGGAGCAUUAUUCAUUAGAGAAACAGUAAAAACAAAACAAAACAAAACAACCAAGAAAACCUAUGUCAUUCUACCUACUUGCUACCAUAAUUGCUACCUUAGCUCCAGAUCAUCAUUAUCCACUGAUACCCCACAUUCAAUCUGCAGACGGUCCUGGGCAUGGUCCUUCCUGCCCAGUAAGUGUGGGGAGUGUGUGUCCUUACUAUUAGAUGUUUAUGCUAUUCUUUGCUUCCAUGUUUUGGCUUCAUUGAGAUUUUAUUUGUGUAACAGUUGGUUAACUCUCAUCAAAACUGUAGGAGAUGAAAAAAAUCUUUCCUCUACCCUCUUAGGUUUGUACCUGGGGCUUGCAGAUUAAACUGACAAAGAUAGGUUAACAAGAGAAAAAGCAUUUAAUUUUAAUUGAUGUUAGUUGGGGUUUUUUGUUGUUGUUCUUGUUUAUUUUGGGUUUUGUUUUGUGGGUUUGGUUUUUUUUUUUUUUACAUGCACAGGGGCUUCACAGAAAAAUGAAAACCAAAAAGUGGUUAAACUUAAGGACUUCAAUGCCAUUUUAACAAAGGGUGAUAAAUUGUAGAUAAAUGACUAGACAAAGGGUGGUUCGGCUUCUAGGGCUGAUAAGUUAUGGAAAGACAACUAGGAAAUCUAUGGGAGGAAACUAAUGUUAGAUAAAGAUUGUUUAUUAAGAUUUGUACAGACUCAUCUUGGUGCCAUCUCUGUCUCUGGUGGUUAAGGAUUGUUCUCCCCUUCCUUAUAUGGAAGGAGCCACCCGCACAAGGGAAAUUUAUGUGCUACUUUUAGGCAGAUGGGAA